UGGACUGUGGAGAUGAACAUGUAGGGCAGGAGAGGGACCAAUCCACCGAUGACAUAAGAUAGCGCUAUUGUGAAAGCACUCUGCAAAGCUCUUCUAGGGUCCGGCUUCUCCAAUCCGAGUUCAAACCUGAACACGAUGCUCCGCUAUGUGGCGAUAUCCACAUUUUUAAUCAAGUACAAUCAGAAACGGAGCAAUACAUAGUGUCAGCAGCUGCUAUUCAUACCUCAUCAUGAACUCGAGCCAAGCUUGUGGGUUCCUUCUGAGGCCCUCCACGACAGGUCCAUACUCAUGCGGUUCAAGCCCAUACUCUGCCAUGAUAUCUCCAAUCUCAGCAGCCUCUGGAUGAUCAGUAAAGAAGUCAAAACACCAAAAGUAAGGCUGCAAGUCAUACAAGGAGGAAUCUGGGAACAUGUUUUCUUGCUAUAUCCAUGUACCGGUUUCUGGGACGGCAAUGAUCUCCUCCUGCUCCCUCUUCAUCUCCCGCUUGUAAUGAUCUGCCUCGCUUUUGGCCGCCAGGUACCUAACACAUGGCACAGUGGCGAAUCAGAAAUUCACAAUAAUACAUUAGUGGGCACUUUUUGAAUUGAAAACAAUGUGAUCCUGUCUUGUUCCACAGUUUAAAGCGAGAUUCUCCACUAUGACUUGUGGGCACUUUUUGAAUUGAAAAGCUGUGAUACAUAUAAAGUAUGCUACAAUAGCACGUUGAAGAGGACCACAAGCCCACAUACUUGUCUAUCACAGGCUAACCUUUCGCCAGUAACGUUUUGGGUUUAGAUAAGUGUAAGUUACAAGUUGAUGUUGAAGCUAAAGCAAAGUACUGUCAGCCAGACAGGAAUGCAGUGUGCGACCUACAGAACAAUUAACACUGGGGUGUUCAUGAGGUAACAAAACAAGAUUCAGCAAAUACACCCGUGACCCUGUGAAUAUAUGCAGGUCAGGUACGAAAGAAUAUUUAAGAUGCUCCCUAUUAGAGGAGUAUUUAAUCCUAGCUGUCAAGUGAUCAAAGGUAAAUUUGGCUAUAUAAGCAUGGUGAGUACAACAAGUAUUUGACAGAUUUAGUGUUCACUCCUUCCAGUAUAGAGAUUCCCAUACAUAUUAUGCAUGUUGGUACAAUUUAAAACAUUGUAUACGCACUCUUAUUUUCAUUUUUACCUCGUACAUUGAAAUAUGCUCAUUUUUGUUAUUACCAAGUGAAAUUUGUAAAACAAUAUAUUUAUGUAUUGUUAUCACAGAAGCA